UCUUAUUGAAAAUUUAAUCUUUUCAUGUCGGGGUACUAUUCAUUCGGUGUACUAUUCAUGAGUACUGUGUCGACCCCAAAUCCGGAUACUUGAAACCCGAACUCGGUUCUCCACGAUACCAUUUCUUUAAGCUGAAUAAUACUAAAUAAUAAUAUAAUUCGAACUUAAUUUACAUACAUCAAAGUUUACUUCCCCAGGUACGUGACCUUCAAAUACAUUCCUUACAAUACCUGACAAUAGAUUUCAUUGUCUUACUAACUAUAACCAUUAACUCAUACUAAAUCUCAUUCGAACAGCUUUUCUUUUCCCUUGUUCGUGCCUGAGCCUUCAGGUCGAUCGUACGUAACUGAAAACAUUUAGUUUAAGCAAGGAUGAGCAUUUGAGUGCCCAACAAGUAAUAACAAUUAUAUAUAUAAGCUGAAAGAAUAUAAGUAUUCUCUUUACAUAACACUUCUACAACGAAUCAAAAGUUGUGAAGUAAUCUGUACUGAUAAAAGAUUCACAUAACAACUCUCUUCCAAAUUAUUUAAAUUUGGCUCUGGCUCUACCCAUGAAUAGGGUUUAAGAAACAUACUAUGAACAUUGUUUUUUUCAUUUUCGAAAAGGUUUAGCAGAAAUCCAUCCGCAAACCGCUCUAGCUUACGGGUACGGAGGGUGAUCAGCCCUGUUGUACCCUGUAUUGAUCAAUACUACAUAACUCUGAACGAAAUUCAUCGUUUUAUUCUAUCCGCCUCGGGCGCAAAAAUCUUCCCAUACAGGGAUGUCCAUACAUGCCUGGUUCCAAACCCGAAGGUUUUUAAUCUUGCUCAACAAUAAUAUAUAAUUCAACAUAUAUAUAUACGGGUAAUUGACAAAGGUAUAUCAACAUGUGAAUAAAUGCCAUGAUUAUCCAAGUGGGGACACUUGUAUAACCAUUUAGAAAUCAACUUAACAGAAUAUAUAUCUGAGCUAACAUGUUGAUAAUCAAAGCGUACANNNN
rnacentral:lncRNA from 1 species